GCGGAGGUUAUUCUGUGGGGGUUAUAAAUACCCUCCUCAAAUUAAUAUUAUUUAAUAUAAUUAAAAUGAUUUAAUUAAGUGCUGAUAAUUGUAGGGGUUUUCAUGUUAUUAGGAGGAGGUUUAUGUGUUCUAGAAAUUAAAAUAUAAUUUUCAGUUUCUAACUUUCCUCCUAGACCUAAAAUUUUCCAAAUCCAUUAUCCCUCUCAUCUUUCCCCC
rnacentral:lncRNA from 1 species